rnacentral:rRNA from 1 species
UACGAAGGGGGCUAGCGUUGCUCGGAAUCACUGGGCGUAAAGCGCACGUAGGCGGAUUUUUAAGUCAGGGGUGAAAUCCCGGAGCUCAACUCCGGAACUGCCUUUGAUACUGGCGAUCUCGAGUCCGGGAGAGGUGAGUGGAACUGCGAGUGUAGAGGUGAAAUUCGUAGAUAUUCGCAAGAACACCAGUGGCGAAGGCGGCUCACUGGCCCGGUACUGACGCUGAGGUGCGAAAGCGUGGGGAGCAAACAGGAUUAGAAACCCCCGUAGUCC